UACGGAGGAUGCGAGCGUUAUCCGGACUUAUUGGGUUUAAAGGGUGCGUAGGCGGGAUGCCGAGUCAGCGGUAAAAAUGCGGUGCUCAACGCCGUCGAGCCGUUGAAACUGGCGUUCUUGAGUGGGCGAGAAGUAUGCGGAAUGCGUGGUGUAGCGGUGAAAUGCAUAGAUAUCACGCAGAACUCCGAUUGCGAAGGCAGCAUACCGGCGCCCUACUGACGCUGAGGCACGAAAGCGUGGGUAUCGAACAGG
rnacentral:rRNA from 1 species